rnacentral:rRNA from 1 species
CCACGCCGUAAACGAUGAGUGCUAGGUGUAGAGGGUAUCGACCCUUUCUGUGCCGCAGUUAACACAAUAAGCACUCCGCCUGGGGAGUACGGCCCGCAAGGUUGAAACUCAAAGGAAUUGACGGGGGCCCGCACAAGCGGUGGAGCAUGUGGUUUAAUUCGACGCAACGCGAAGAACCUUACCAGGGCUUGACAUCCUACGAACUCUUAGGAAACUAGGAGGUGCCCUUCGGGGAGCGUAGAGACAGGUGGUGCAUGGUUGUCGUCAGCUCGUGUCGUGAGAUGUUGGGUUAAGUCCCGCAACGAGCGCAACCCCUGUAUUUAGUUGCUAACGAGUAAGGUCGAGCACUCUAGAUAGACUGCCGGUGAUAAACCGGAGGAAGGUGGGGAUGACGUCAAAUCAUCAUGCCCCUUAUGUCCUGGGCUACACACGUGCUACAAUGGCCGGUACAGACGGAAGCGAAGCCGCGAGGUGGAGCCAAUCCGAGAAAGCCGGUCUCAGUUCGGAUUGCAGGCUGCAACUCGCCUGCAUGAAGUCGGAAUCGCUAGUAAUCGCAGGUCAGCACACUGCGGUGAAUACGUUCCCGGGCCUUGUACACACCGCCCGUCACACCACGAAAGUCUGCAACACCCGAAGCCGGUGAGGUAACCCGCAAGGGAGCUAGCCGUCGAAGGUGGGGCCGAUAAUUGGGGUGAAGUCGUAACAAGGUAACCGUA